UUGUUCAAAAUUGAAGUAUGCCGUAAAGUGCAGAAUGAAAAUGAACACUUACAAAUGAGCUGCUGCAAAGUUUCCAACUAGUGUUUGUUUAAAGUGAAACAUUUUGUCACAACUAAAUGCUAAGAGUGAAAGACCAGCAGCUUGGAUGAUCCAACGUUGUUUGCGUUGUGGACUUCGAACUCUUGCACAAGAUGAAGCAGUUUCAGUUUCUCAAAACUUCCACUGAUCUUGUGAGCAGCUUGUCUCCAGUCCUGCCAAGCUCACAGGAUCACAGUUUCACUCAAUUCUCUUUCAGUUAAUCCGCAUUUUUUCAUUCAGUUUGUAACAUCCUCUCACUCAAGCUCGAGACCAUGCUUCCAUGCGGAGUUGCUCUUUUACUCGUCUGAGAAGAUUCACAUGAACAUUUUUCAUGUUGAUUCUUAUCAGGUUCUGUCAAACAAUGUAUCAUGUGCACUUCCGCAAGGUCGUCUUGACCAGACCAACACGUCUCUUGAACUUGAAAGAGCAUCUGAAUGGGUUUUUGUGUAAUUUCAAAGGAGUUGCAGUAGAUUACACCAUCGGUAACUGAUAGUUCUCUGCAAGUGUAGAGACACGAUUCCUUACCGAAGGUUUGUAAAAUGGUUGCGUGCGUGUAAUGAGCUUGUUGUUCAGCUAGUGGCUGCGGCAGCUUAAAGAUGUAUGAGUUUUUGCUGUCAUGGGCUUCGUACUAUCAUUUAAGAAAUGCUUGUUUGUGGUUCAUACUUACCCAGGAUCUACUGAUAUCAACACUGGAGGCUUGAAGUUAGGUUAUGAGAUUUUCAAAGUCUUUUAUUAGGUGAAUUGCGAACUGUUGGCGUGCGCUCAACUACCAUUACUGCAAGCGAACUGUUGCCUGACUACUUCUAGUCGUUCUAAUUUUCGUUCAUGUGUCUACCCUUCCGAAAAGUCCUUCAGUUCUAUCAUUUUGUGAUGAUGUCGUGAACAUGUGAGUCAUCAUGUAUAUAUACGUGAAUAUCUGCCGUUGAAGUGGUCCCAGGCCAACCUGACUUUUAACGUUUCUGCUCAAGCACCGAUGCUGAAGGACGGUGACCACUUCUAUGCAGUUUUUGAGAGGAGAAGACAGACUAGUCCUGAAUGAGUACAAAUCUGCUACGCGCCUGACAAUCCUGAUUACGGAUAUUAGUCGACGACUUCUAUUCCUUCAAAAACCAACAAGCUCACCGACCAGCUGAUCACUUCUCUCCUCUCAAGUAGUAAGAACAGUUCAGAGAAGGCACAAUGACCCAUUACUUUCCCUAGGUACGGACUCAAGAUUUCUUGCUAGAUGGACCACAGAGUUUACGCCUGUGCACCCGCUUUUGGUUCUCACUCUCGUCAAGGUAGGAACUGGUGCGAUAGUUCUCUAAUCACAUAACCCUUGCUACGUAGCCACGAGAAAUUAAUUCUCUCUCUCCAGGCAGCACGCUUCGAAAUAUCCGCUCGAGGAACCCAGUAUCAUGCCGAUGAUACCAAUCGGUUCUUAUUGAGUAUCGCCAGUUGAUCGAGAUAUUUCCGCAGCGGAUUGCAACGUAAUCCUUACGGUGCAUGUCUGUACCUCCAGUGGAAAUCGUCAAAAAAGCUAUUGCUGCUGCGCAACGGAUCCAAAGUCCAAUCUCACGGAGGGUCCACCAUAGUAUUCGGAGAGAGGUAAUGAAAAGAACCCAACAAGGCCCCUCUCUUCUCGAUCAUCACUCGUCAGCCAUUUCAGUCAUAUGGGCCACUGCCAGUCAUUGUACGCGAGACCGCCAACCGAUUGUACCAGCACUUUCCACACCAAUCACCACACCAUGAAAUCACCGCAAUUGUCUUCAACCUCACGCAGAGGGAAAAAGUCCUGAGUGGCGACCUCCGUUUCAAUCCCACAUACCUCACUACUAGUCACAAAACCUACUCCAACAAAUUUCAAACCCGCUAAACAAGCACCAGAGACUGACUGGCAUCACGCCAAUCCUUUUUCCGCCUCCCGUGCCGCGGUCUCGACAUCGUGUCAUCGCGUCUCAAGAACUGAUUAUGGGUUCAGGACUCCUUCUCAUCAGAGCAGUUGGCAUCCAUGAACUCAUUCACCACCUGACGAAUGCAUGGGGUGGUGACGGAGACUGCAGUGAACGUGGAGCCUGUUGAAUCUCGUGGCUGGUCACUAGUAAAGCCAGAAACGACAGAAACGAAUCCUUGGCGAAGGUGGGGAGUGGGUGUGGAUCCAUGGGACAGAGGGGAAUCCGAGGUGGAGAUGUUUCAGCAGAAGUUGAAGAAGAAGAAGGGGUCGGUGGCACUAAAGCAGCGGCAGCAAGGGAAAGAGGAGGAGGGGGG
rnacentral:lncRNA from 1 species